ACGGCUAUACCAUGCUGAAUAUACCGGUUCUCGUUCGAUCACCGAAGUCAAGCAUCAUCGGGCGCGGUCAAUGGGAGGGUGACCACCUAAAACCGCGUGCCGUU